rnacentral:rRNA from 1 species
CCGGUAAACGGCGGCCGUAACUAUAACGGUCCUAAGGUAGCGAAAUUCCUUGUCGGGUAAGUUCCGACCUGCACGAAUGGCGUAAUGAUGGCCAGGCUGUCUCCACCCGAGACUCAGUGAAAUUGAACUCGCUGUGAAGAUGCAGUGUACCCGCGGCAAGACGGAAAGACCCCGUGAACCUUUACUAUAGCUUGACACUGAACAUUGAGCCUUGAUGUGUAGGAUAGGUGGGAGGCUUGGAAGUGUGGACGCCAGUCUGCAUGGAGCCGACCUUGAAAUACCACCCUUUAAUGUUUGAUGUUCUAACGUUGACCCGUAAUCCGGGUUGCGGACAGUGUCUGGUGGGUAGUUUGACUGGGGCGGUCUCCUCCUAAAGAGUAACGGAGGAGCACGAAGGUUGGCUAAUCCUGGUCGGACAUCAGGAGGUUAGUGCAAUGGCAUAAGCCAGCUUGACUGCGAGCGUGACGGCGCGAGCAGGUGCGAAAGCAGGUCAUAGUGAUCCGGUGGUUCUGAAUGGAAGGGCCAUCGCUCAACGGAUAAAAGGUACUCCGGGGAUAACAGGCUGAUACCGCCCAAGAGUUCAUAUCGACGGCGGUGUUUGGCACCUCGAUGUCGGCUCAUCACAUCCUGGGGCUGAAGUAGGUCCCAAGGGUAUGGCUGUUCGCCAUUUAAAGUGGUACGCGAGCUGGGUUUAGAACGUCGUGAGACAGUUCGGUCCCUAUCUGCCGUGGGCGCUGGAGAACUGAGGGGGGCUGCUCCUAGUACGAGAGGACCGGAGUGGACGCAUCACUGGUGUUCGGGUUGUCAUGCCAAUGGCACUGCCCGGUA